rnacentral:ncRNA from 1 species
CUACAAAGUGGGCAAACUCAUCGUGAGAUGGGGACGCAAAGCUAUAGGGGCUUGAAAAAGCCAGCCAGUUGCCAUG